AUGUUUUACUACGGGCUAGACUUCCAUGACCUAGCCCCCAACUUUAUCCUCAACAUCACGGCAUUCAUUCUCGUGUGUGAGGCCUUCCUCCGCAUCCCGCCUCAUUUUGGCCUAUGGUUGAAGACCUUCAACGUGAAGACGAAGGUGGUGGGCGGCCAACAAGCAGAGUGCGAAGGCGCCAUGGUGGGCAAGAUGCCCAACAUUACCUGUCUCGAAGGCUCGUUUGCGGACAUGGUGAAAGGGUGGCAAUCGGGGUGGUUUUAUAUCACCGAGCCGCGUGACGCCAACUGGGUGGCGGCCUCCGAAUUCAUAUCUGGAUUCCCGAUGUGGCUCACCUCCUGGCAAGAGAGAGGCCUAACCUGGGGUCCCUCGGACGAGCUGACUGGGCUCCAGACGUGUGUCCAGAAUAUGAUGGAUAGGAAGAUCAAGCUCGUCAACAUGGUCCAAGUCAUGUUCAUUCGCCGGGUCCUUCCGUGCCAAUGCCGGACUUGCUAUCUGUGGGAGUACGACCCGGCCAAUCAUCAGACACUACAAGAGCUCUUCGGCACGACGCACGAAGAAAUUUGGAAAGUGCUCUUCAAGGCCAGGGAGACGCCACCGCCCACGACCAAAGAUCGCGGGCUUAGCUUAAAACGCCAGGCUAACCCGAUAAGCUCUUUUAAUGUUUUCGAGGCGUACCCUUUACUAGCAUAUUUUGAGAAAAAUUCUAAGCCUUCCAACCCGUGUUUUCAGGCCUGGGUCAAGAUAGCGGAGGGGAUUAACAGUCCGGCUCCGCUGCCCGAAGACCAAGAAUUCCCAUUGUUGACGAAAAUGCUUUUUCCAGCACCUUAUGAGGUACCAGAGAAGACGGCCAAGAAAGUGGCCAAAGGGGCCAAGAAGGGCCCUCGCCGAAAAGGCGCUCCGGACAUGAUGUCCGAAGACGAUACUUCCUCUUCGUCCGCUGAUGACAACGAUGAAGAGGAAGAAUAA
rnacentral:rRNA from 1 species